ACGGGUGAGUAACAUUUAGGAAUCUGCCUAGUAGUGGGGGAUAGCUCGGGGAAACUCGAAUUAAUACCGCAUACGACCUACGGGUGAAAGGGGGCGCAAGCUCUUGCUAUUAGAUGAGCCUAAAUCAGAUUAGCUAGUUGGUGGGGUAAAGGCCCACCAAGGCGACGAUCUGUAACUGGUCUGAGAGGAUGAUCAGUCACACCGGAACUGAGACACGGUCCGGACUCCUACGGGAGGCAGCAGUGGGGAAUAUUGGACAAUGGGGGCAACCCUGAUCCAGCCAUGCCGCGUGUGUGAAGAAGGCCUUUUGGUUGUAAAGCACUUUAAGCAGGGAGGAGAGGCUAAUGGUUAAUACCCAUUAGAUUAGACGUUACCUGCAGAAUAAGCACCGGCUAACUCUGUGCC
rnacentral:rRNA from 1 species